rnacentral:rRNA from 1 species
GCGUGAGUGAAGAAGGUUUUCGGAUCGUAAAGCUCUGUUGUUGGUGAAGAAGGAUAUAGAGAGCAACUGCUCUGUAUUUGACGGUAAUCAAAGAGGAAGUCACGGCUAACUACGUGCCAGCAGCCGCGGUAAUACGUAGGUGGCAAGCGUUGUCCGGAUUUAUUGGGCGUAAAGCGAACGCAGGCGGGAAGAUAAGUCAGCUGUGAAAGCCCUCGGCUUAACCGAGGAAGAGCAGCUGAAACUAUAUUUCUUGAGUGCAGAAGAGGAGAGUGGAACUCCAUGUGUAGCGGUGGAAUGCGUAGAUAUAUGGAAGAACACCAGUGGCGA